rnacentral:rRNA from 1 species
UCCGUAGGUGAACCUGCGGAAGGAUCAUUAACAAAUAAUAUCCAAUACCAACCUCUUGUGCACUGUUGACGUAUGCUUUGGUAGGGAGUGAAAUGGUUCGUCAGGACCUUUCGAUCUGCCAGAGUUUAUUCAAUACUAAACAAACUAAUGUCUCAUCUAAUUGACUGAAAUUCAUUUUACAAAUGAAAAUACAACUUUUAACAAUGGAUCUCUUGGCUCUUGCAUCGAUGAAGAACGCAGCGAAUUGCGAAAAGUAAUGUGAAUUGCAGAAUUCCGUGAAUCAUCGAAUCUUUGAACGCACAUUGCGCUCUCUGGUAUUCCGGAGAGCAUGCCUGUUUGAGUAUCAGUUAACUAUUCUCAAGCUAAAUACUUGUAUUUAGCAUGGAAUUGAGUGUUCCCGGUAAGAGUGUUUCGGCACUGCAACUGGGAGACUUGAAACUGAUAUCGCGGGAGCAGUGGUCAUUAAGGAUCAGCUCUUUGUAGGUGUACUAGUUGGAGGCGUCGCAAGACGUUUUCAUUCUUAGCACCAAUACGCAAAGUUCGGAUCUGAUCGCAUGCGCCAGGCGAACACAGGAACUUGCAAGCCUUCCUCUUGGAAGAUUUCAACUUCUUGAUCUCAAAUCAGGUAGGAUUACCCGCUGAACUUAAGCAUAUCAAUAAGCGGAGGA